AGGGGGAGGGAGAAAAGAAGGAAGUGAGAGUGAGAGAGAGGGAAAAUGUGUGAAAGAGAGAAGAGAGGAUGCACUACUUCCAGGAUGAUAUUGAGAGAAGCAAUUCAGAGAUUCAAAAAAGGAGAUAUUUAUUUGAAACACACGCGAAGAUUGUCUACGGUGUAGAAACAUACACGUGUGAAUACAAUUUAUUUUUCGCGAUAACACUUCACCUUAUCCGUUCUCUCGCAUGUAGAUUACGUAAAAUGCACAAAACGGACACCACCGCACCCUCAUCAAGUUCACGUAUCUUCGAGUUUUUUCCUUUUUUCAUUUUCCGUUUUUAUAUUCAAAAACAUUCCAAAAACUGAUUAUAUGCGCGCAUCACUACGCGGAGACAUUUUUUUAAUCAAGAAUUCUGGAAGUACAUUAACUUUUCUAGGCGGCAUCAUGCAUCUCUAUUGUGUGCGUUUCCUUGUUUCUUUUUUUUAAUGACAAUGAAAUUUUUUUUAUUGUGGAUUAAAUUUCGGAAACAAACCGGGAAAAGAAAAAUAUGACAUUUAAAAUUUGUUUCUAAAACGAGAGCAAGGGGAAAAUGCAAUUUUCAGAAUUUACGUAUAAUUAUUGUACGAAAUACGGAAAGAAAAAAAUGAAAUAGUACUUUUUAGAGCGUUGUAUUUACGAUAAUUACAAGUUAAAAACGGAUCGAUAUACAUUUUUAAUUGUACAGUGAAUACAGAUAUUUUUUUUAGAAUCGUGCCUUUUCACACAGAUCCGUUAAAUAAAAGAAAGGGAGAGGGGGAGAGAGAGAGAGAGAGGGAGAGGAGGAGGAGAGAGAGAGAGAGAGAGAGAGAUAUUUAUAUAAAUAUGCAGGAGAAAAUCGUUAUAAUAUAUUUUUACGCAUCGUUAAAUUUGAUGCGAAGCCAAAUCUUAAUUUUCUAAUUAAUAUAUCUGUAAUUGUUUUUGUAUUAAAUCUCUAUACAUUUGUUUUCGUUGUCAAUUUAAUAGAUUUUGUGACGCGUGAUAACAUUAUUGAAUUGGAUUUUUGUCGGACUGUAUUAAAAGAAAAAGAAAUAGACACUCACAGCACAAAGACAGUCCGUAACAUAAUAAUAAUAAUAUUAAAAAGAAAGAGAAAAUCUAGGAAAAUCAAAUCGCGACAGGUUAAGUAACAAAAAUGUGAGAGAAAGAGAGAGGGAGAGAGAGUGAGAGAGAGAGAGAGAGAGAGAGAGAAAGGAAGGAUGAUUGAAAAUGUGUUUGAAAUAGAGAGAAAGAGAUUUAAAAAAAUGGAAAAAAGUAGGUUUGUUACAUGAUGAGAAACUAGAAUGUAAAUUAAUUUAUUUUAUCGGAAGAACCGUUAUAUGUAUAUGUACUGUCGAGAAAGAACAGAAAAAUGAAAAGUAAAAACGCAUAGAUGCAUCGAUUUACACCGUAUAUCACAUGUAUGCACGACAGAUACACGCGUGUACAGACAGAUCGAGGGGAGAGUAAUCGAGACGACACUCUGUCAUCUUUCGAGAUGUCGAAAUUGAUGGCUGUAAAUAAAAUAAGUAUUUGUCUAAAUGAUCAAAUGGAAAAUUCGAUCGAGGAAGAUUGAACUUCCUGAGCGCUUUUGCGACCGCGCGAAUAAUUGUAUUUACCGAAAUGAGUAUAUUUUCUCAAGAAUUUGGAAAUUUGCAAAAGUAAACGCUUAUAUUACUUGAUUUGAUUAAAUACCUUCGUGUUGAGUCCGUUUCAAUCGUGAUUAUUCUUCACGUUACAACCUGCGUCCAACGAGAUCUCCAUCUCUUCCCCUUCUUCUGGAUGUCUCUUCUCCUAUAUCAAUUAUCACCAUCACCAUCAUCAUCACUAUUGUCACCAUCACUAUCAUUACCAUUACUAUUAUCAUUAUUCGUACAUCCAGCGGAGUUUCGCGUUGUCCGACUUAGGAUUGAUAGUUGAGAAUUGAAUGAAGGAGCAAUAGGAAGGGAGAGAGAGUGUGUAGGAAAGCUUUUUACCAAAAAUAUGCGAGAACCGCGGACUACUCGCGCGACACACGAGAAACUGAUACGAAAAAACGACAGUGAGCAGGUAGUUAGAUAGAGUUUUAGUGAAGAGAGAAAGAGAGAGAAAGAACGAGAGAGAGAGAGAGAGGGAGAGAGAGAGAGAGAGAGGAGCGCUAAUUAGCGAGUGCGUAUUGUGUAUUUGUUGCACAAGGCGAGAUUGUCACCACUUGACUGACAAAAAAAUCCACAUGUGAUUUUAAUAGUAAAUUUUGAGAAUUUUACUAAAUAGAGACUCUUGUAUACACUAAAAAAAAGUAACUAAAGUAAUUAUCGUGACUGACCAAACGAAGAAAAGGGAAAAAAGGAGAAAAGCGAGUAAACAGAGCAGCAAUAAUAGUUGCGCCGACUGGUUCAGGGGUCGAAGAAGGGAAAGAAGAGGGGGAUCAAGAUGG
rnacentral:lncRNA from 1 species